rnacentral:lncRNA from 1 species
CUGGCGCAGAGCUUCCCUCCACCUGCAUGUGAAUGGGCAUCACCACUGGGCUUUCCCCAAGGCACAGGGGCUGCAGCACGGUGGCUGCUACCUUCAGAGCCAUGCCACUCUGGGACUCAGCUGGGGGGUUCAGAAUUGAUGGGGCCGGAACGGUCACCAGGGCCUUCUUUACCAGGAAACUCUACUCCUCAGAGCAAAGGGGAGAGGAAAUGCUUUGCAAGAAUGGUCGUUGAGCCAAUCAGCCUCACCUGUCCAUCUUUCUGACCUGUGGCCUCUACCAGCAUGUGGUUACCAAGAGAAAGGAGUGCUGAUGAGUCUAGAUCUACGGGAAAUAAAAUAUCUGUCGGAAACAAACAUUCC